rnacentral:rRNA from 1 species
GGAGUUAGCCGGUGCUUCUUCUGCGAGUAACGUCACAGAUGUAAGGUAUUAACUUACACCCUUUCCUCCUCGCUGAAAGUGCUUUACAACCCGAAGGCCUUCUUCACACACGCGGCAUGGCUGCAUCAGGGUUUCCCCCAUUGUGCAAUAUUCCCCACUGCUGCCUCCCGUAGGAGUCUGGGCCGUGUCUCAGUCCCAGUGUGGCUGAUCAUCCUCUCAGACCAGCUAGGGAUCGUCGCCUAGGUGAGCCUUUACCUCACCUACUAGCUAAUCCCACCUGGGCUUAUCCAUCAGCGCAAGGCCCGAAGGUCCCCUGCUUUCCCCCGUAGGGCGUAUGCGGUAUUAGCAGUCGUUUCCAACUGUUAUCCCCCACAAAUGGGCAAAUUCCCAGGCAUUACUCACCCGUCCGCCGCUCGUCAUCUUCAAAAGCAAGCUUUUGAAAUGUUACCGCUCGACUUGCAUGUGUUAGGCCUUGCCGCCACGCGUUACAACUCUGACGACCAUAAUACAAACUACUACGA